rnacentral:tRNA from 1 species
UAUGGCAGAAUUGACAUGCAAUGAACUUAAAAUUCAUUUAUAAAGAAUAAUCUUUUUUUAGAAAUC